rnacentral:lncRNA from 10 species
GGAGGCUGUUAGCAAAAGUGCUCUGUUGAGGCAGUGAGGCCUGCGGCAGAAUCACUGUGGUGGUGUCUGCUGGGAAAAGUGCUCCAGCAGGGUAGCUGAGGCUGUGCUGCAUGCAGUCACGGCUAGGCAGUGACUCUGGGAGUAGCUGGCAGACAGCAGGUUCCACAGGUCACUCUCCAUGGUCCUGCAACAAAGACAGCCCUGCUGUUUCCAGGUCUAGCAACUUACACAGGUCAGAGCCACCCCAUUUUUAGGGAGCUUUUCAGGGCCUGGAAUGUGUCCACGUACUUGGCAGCCCUGUGCAGGGUUCCCAGCUUUUGGAUCAUCUCUCUUCCACUUCAUCUCAUCUUCUCCUUCAGUUCCAGCAUCUGGGUCAUCUGUCUACCCUCUCUCAGUUUAUUCUCUCAGAUGGUCUACUUGGUGUAUGCUGGUUUGCCUGAUACUCUGGUCUGUCUCAGUGGGAGACAACUUGUCUUUUUUUGUUGUUGCUGUUGUUUUUAAUUGGAGAAUGUUGUUAGAAGCCAAGAUCUGGGUAUAAGGUGUGCUUGUUGCUAUUGGAAUGUCAUUUACUUUAGGCCCUCUCAGUUGACAGAAGAAAUAUAUGUCUGUAAAUAUCUAUGUAGCUCUAUCCAUAUGAAAUUAUAUGCAUUCAUAUAUAUUUAUAUGAAAUUAUAUAUAUUCUUGGUAAUGUCUGCAACACUAAUUCAUUACCACGUGAAUUAUUCUAGCUCCUCUGCUUGCUAUAUCUAUAAAUUCCUACUCCAUCAGUGAGUAAUCAGCCUCCUGCCUUUCAUCCAUUUAAUUACUUAUUCAGUUCCAGAAUACAGGAUCUCUUAAGGGCAGGAGUUUGAGACCAAUCUGGACAACAUAGUGAUACCCUGUCUCUCAAAAAUAAAUAUAAAAAAUUAGCUGCACAUGGUGGCACACACCUGUAGUCCCAGCUACUCAGGACAGAAUGAAAUGCUGUUUC